rnacentral:rRNA from 1 species
AUUGAACGCUGGCGGCAGGCCUAACACAUGCAAGUCGAGCGGCAGCGGGAAAGUAGCUUGCUACUUUUGCCGGCGAGCGGCGGACGGGUGAGCAAUGCCUGGGAAAUUGCCCAGUCGAGGGGGAUAACAGUUGGAAACGACUGCUAAUACCGCAUACGCCCUACGGGGGAAAGCAGGGGACCUUCGGGCCUUGCGCGAUUGGAUAUGCCCAGGUGGGAUUAGCUAGUUGGUGAGGUAAUGGCUCACCAAGGCGACGAUCCCUAGCUGGUCUGGGCGGAUGAUCAGCCACACUGGAACUGAGACACGGUCCAGACUCCUACGGGAGGCAGCAGUGGGGAAUAUUGCACAAUGGGGAAAACCCUGAUGCAGCCAUGCCGCGUGUGUGAAGAAGGCCUUCGGGUUGUAAAGCACUUUCAGCGAGGAGGAAAAGUUGAUGCCUAAUACGUAUCAACUGUGACGUUACUCGCAGAAGAAGCACCGGCUAACUCCGUGCCAGCAGCCGCAGUAA